GUUCGACUUGAGCGCCAGCGAGAGAGCGUUGCCGCAGGCAACGACCCGAAGGGCGAAGCGCGCAGCGCUGAGUAAUCCUUCCCCCACCACCA
rnacentral:sRNA from 2 species